rnacentral:sRNA from 1 species
UGAAUGAUUACAUGUACAUAUAUAGCUUUUAGAGAACACAAUCUCUGUGCUAUCACGAUAUCGUAUCUUACAGAAAAUAUAGAAACAAUAUUAACAACAGAUUUUAUGGAGUAACUCUGAUAUACAUUCCUGAUUUAACGCCAACUUCCUCUUCACGCAACUUUGUAGCCAAGUUUGUAAACCAAACCAGUUAAACCGGAUCUCCAACUCCAACAAAAGGGUUA